CUAAGAAUAUUCCGCAAUGGACGAAAGUCUGACGGAGCGACGCCGCGUGGAUGGAGAAGGCCGAAAGGUUGUAAAGUUCUUUUGUUGGGGAAGAAUAACCAUGGGAGGGAAUGCCCGUGGGAUGACAUGAACCGACGAAUAAGCCCCGGCUAACUACGUGCCAGCAGCCGCGGUAACACGUAGGGGGCGAGCGUUGUUCGGAAUUACUGGGCGUAAAGGGCAUGUAGGCGGUCUUGUAAGCUUGGCGUGAAAGACCACGGCUCAACCGUGGGGUUGCGUUGAGAACUGCGAGGCUUGAGUGACGGAGAGGGAGCUAGAAUUCCUGGUGUAGGGGUGGCAUCUGUAGAGAUCAGGAAGAAUACCAAUGGCGAAGGCAAGGUCCUGGCCGAUGACUGACGCUGAGGUGCGAAAGUGUGGGGAUCAAAC
rnacentral:rRNA from 1 species